AAGGCUAUACUUUACAGGAUCAUUUCUGUAGGUAGUCUUCAUUUAAAUUUUUUGGAAAUCGACCCGCGAUGACGAGUUAUAUCGUUUUAUCUGACAGCGUGAGGUUUAUGAACUUCAUUUCUAAUAUUGUGUUGUGGCAUAUUAGAAAUGAUGUUUCUUCGAAUUCUUCGAAAAGCGCUCGCUUACAACGGAUAAAACGACUUCUGAGUGGU